UUUAUGGAGAGUUUGAUCCUGGCUCAGGAUGAACGCUGGCGGCGUGCCUAAUACAUGCAAGUCGAGCGAACGGACGAGAAGCUUGCUUCUCUGAUGUUAGCGGCGGACGGGUGAGUAACACGUGGAUAACCUACCUAUAAGACUGGGAUAACUUCGGGAAACCGGAGCUAAUACCGGAUAAUAUUUUGAACCGCAUGGUUCAAAAGUGAAAGACGGUCUUGCUGUCACUUAUAGAUGGAUCCGCGCUGCAUUAGCUAGUUGGUAAGGUAACGGCUUACCAAGGCAACGAUGCAUAGCCGACCUGAGAGGGUGAUCGGCCACACUGGAACUGAGACACGGUCCAGACUCCUACGGGAGGCAGCAGUAGGGAAUCUUCCGCAAUGGGCGAAAGCCUGACGGAGCAACGCCGCGUGAGUGAUGAAGGUCUUCGGAUCGUAAAACUCUGUUAUUAGGGAAGAACAUAUGUGUAAGUAACUGUGCACAUCUUGACGGUACCUAAUCAGAAAGCCACGGCUAACUACGUGCCAGCAGCCGCGGUAAUACGUAGGUGGCAAGCGUUAUCCGGAAUUAUUGGGCGUAAAGCGCGCGUAGGCGGUUUUUUAAGUCUGAUGUGAAAGCCCACGGCUCAACCGUGGAGGGUCAUUGGAAACUGGAAAACUUGAGUGCAGAAGAGGAAAGUGGAAUUCCAUGUGUAGCGGUGAAAUGCGCAGAGAUAUGGAGGAACACCAGUGGCGAAGGCGACUUUCUGGUCUGUAACUGACGCUGAUGUGCGAAAGCGUGGGGAUCAAACAGGAUUAGAUACCCUGGUAGUCCACGCCGUAAACGAUGAGUGCUAAGUGUUAGGGGGUUUCCGCCCCUUAGUGCUGCAGCUAACGCAUUAAGCACUCCGCCUGGGGAGUACGACCGCAAGGUUGAAACUCAAAGGAAUUGACGGGGACCCGCACAAGCGGUGGAGCAUGUGGUUUAAUUCGAAGCAACGCGAAGAACCUUACCAAAUCUUGACAUCCUUUGACAACUCUAGAGAUAGAGCCUUCCCCUUCGGGGGACAAAGUGACAGGUGGUGCAUGGUUGUCGUCAGCUCGUGUCGUGAGAUGUUGGGUUAAGUCCCGCAACGAGCGCAACCCUUAAGCUUAGUUGCCAUCAUUAAGUUGGGCACUCUAAGUUGACUGCCGGUGACAAACCGGAGGAAGGUGGGGAUGACGUCAAAUC
rnacentral:rRNA from 1 species